GACGAACCGUGCGAACGUUAUUCGGAAUCACUGGGCUUAAAGCGCGUGUAGGCGGAUGGGGACGUCGGUCGCUGAAAUCCCCCGGCUCAACCGGGGAACUGGCCCCGAAACGCCCCGUCUGGAGGAACGUAGGGGGACCUGGAACUUCCGGUGGAGCGGUGAAAUGCGUUGAGAUCGGAAGGAACGCCCGUGGCGAAAGCGAGGUCCUGGACGUUUUCUGACGCUGAGACGCGAAAGCUAGGGUAGCGAACGGG
rnacentral:rRNA from 1 species